CCCCGGCGCCACAAGUGUUUAUCACGAUUAUUGGGCCUAAAGCGUUCGUAGCCGGUCUGGUAAAUCUCUUGUGAAAUUGUUCUGCUUAACAGGACAGCGUGCAGGAGACACUGCCAGACUCGAGACCGGGAGGCGCAAGAAGUAUGUCAUGGGGACUGGUAAAAUGGGAUAAUCCAUGAUAGACUACCGAUGGCGAAGGCAUCUUGCGAGAACGGAUCUGACGGUGAGGAACGAAAGCCAGGGGAGCGAACCGG
rnacentral:rRNA from 1 species